rnacentral:rRNA from 1 species
AACGAACGCUGGCGGCGUGCCUAACACAUGCAAGUCGAACGAGAAAGUGGACUUCGGUCCGCGAGUACAGUGGCAGGCGGGUGAGUAACACGUGGGCAAUCUGCCCGAAGGUGGGGGAUAACUCUCCGAAAGGAGGGCUAAUACCGCAUAACACCCUGGAGCUCUCGGGCUCCGGGAUCAAAGCUUGCCUCUAUUUAUAAGCAGGCGCCAUCGGAGGAGCCCGCGCCCCAUUAGCUUGUUGGUGAGGUAACGGCUCACCAAGGCUGCGAUGGGUAGCCGGCCUGAGAGGGUGAACGGCCACACUGGAACUGAGACACGGUCCAGACUCCUACGGGAGGCAGCAGUGAGGAAUUUUGCGCAAUGGGCGAAAGCCUGACGCAGCGACGCCGCGUGAAGGAAGAAGGUCUUCGGAUUGUAAACUUCUGUCAAGAGGGACGAAGUCGUCGUGGAUGAAUAAGCCACGGCGUUGACGGUACCUCUGGAGGAAGCCCCGGCUAACUCCGUGCCAGCAGCCGCGGUAAUACGGGGGGGGCAAGCGUUGUUCGGAAUUAUUGGGCGUAAAGGGCGCGUAGGCGGCUCCGCAAGUCAGUUGUGAAAGCCCUCGGCUUAACCGGGGAAUUGCAAUUGAAACUGCUGGGCUUGAGUCCCGGAGAGGGUGGCGGAAUUCCCAGUGUAGCGGUGAAAUGCGUAGAUAUUGGGAGGAACACCUGUGGCGAAGGCGGCCACCUGGACGGGUACUGACGCUGAGGCGCGAAAGCGUG